UACAGAGGUCUCAAGCGUUGUUCGGAUUCAUUGGGCGUAAAGGGUGCGUAGGCGGCGCGGUAAGUCGGGUGUGAAAUCUCGGAGCUCAACUCUGAAACUGCACUCGAUACUGCUCUGCUUGAGGACUGGAGAGGAGACUGGAAUUCACGGUGUAGCAGUGAAAUGCGUAGAUAUCGUGAGGAAGACCAGUGGCGAAGGCGGGUCUCUGGACAGUUCCUGACGCUGAGGCGCGAAGGCCAGGGGAGCAAACGGG
rnacentral:rRNA from 1 species